CGCUCUUGUGAAAAGCAAUUACUGCCAUAGUGUUCUGAUCGUCUGUCCAGCUGCAAGUGUGCCUUCACCCUGCACUCUGAAGUCCAUCUGCAUCAGUCAUUACAGUUGUGAAAUGGCUGUUCCUGCCACAGUGAUUCUCAGAAUUAUUCUGGGCGAAAAUGAUUCGCAGAGAUUGAUCCUUAAAGACGGGUUACCAGAAUCUGUCAGUGAACUCAUACAGCAUA